CUUUCGUCGGGGAGAAAUGACUGUACCCGAAUAAGAAGGUCCGGCUAACUUCGUGCCAGCAGCCGCGGUAAUACGAAGGGACCUAGCGUAGUUCGGAAUUACUGGGCUUAAAGAGUUCGUAGGUUGUUAAAAAAGUUGGUGGUGAAAUCCCAGAGCUUAACUCUGGAACUGCCAUCAAAACUUUUUAGCUAGAGUAUGAUAGAGGAAAGCAGAAUUUCUAGUGUAGAGGUGAAAUUCGUAGAUAUUAGAAAGAAUACCAAUUGCGAAGGCAGCUUUCUGGAUCAUUACUGACACUGAGGAACGAAAGCAUGGGUAGCGAAGAGGAUUAGAUACCCUCGUAGUCCAUGCCGUAAACGAUGUGUGUUAGACGUUGGAAAUUUAUUUUCAGUGUCGCAGCGAAAGCAUUAAACACACCGCCUGGGGAGUACGACCGCAAGGUUAAAACUCAAAUGAAUUGACGGGGACCCGCACAAGUAGUGGAGCAUGUGGUUUAAUUCGAAGAUACGCGCAGAACCUUACCAACACUUGACAUGUUCGUCGCGACUUUAAGAGAUUAAAGUUUUCGGUUCGGCCGGACGAAACACAGGUGCUGCAUGGCUGUCGUCAGCUCGUGUCGUGAGAUGUUGGGUUAAGUCCCGCAACGAGCGCAACCCUCACUUUUAGUUGCCAUCAUUAAGUUGGGCACUCUGAAAGAACUGCCAGUGAUAAGCUGGAGGAAGGUGGGGAUGACGUCAAGUCCUCAUGGCCCUUACGUGUUGGGCUACACACGUGCUACAAUGGCAUUUACAAUAGGAAGCAAGAUGGCGACGUCAAGCAAAUCCUAAAAAGAUGCCUCAGUUCGGAUUGUACUCUGCAACUCGAGUACAUGAAGCUGGAAUUACUAGUAAUCGCGGAUCAGCGCGCCGCGGUGAAUACGUUCCCGGGUCUUGUACACACCGCCCGUCACACCAUGGGAGUUG
rnacentral:rRNA from 1 species